rnacentral:rRNA from 1 species
UACAGAGGGUGCAAACGUUGCUCGGAAUUACUGGGCGUAAAGCGCGUGUAGGUGGAUUGGUGUGUCAGAUGUGAAAGCCCUGGGCUCAACCCAGGAACAGCACCUGAAACUACCAGUCUUGAGUGGUGGAGAGGGAAGUGGAAUUCCUGGUGUAGAGGUGAAAUUCGUAGAUAUCAGGAGGAACACCAGUGGCGAAGGCGGCUUCCUGGACACCAACUGACGCUGAGACGCGAAAGCGUGGGGAGCAAACAGG